AUAGCGGAGGAAAGAACCCACCAGGGAUUGCCCUAGUAACGGCGAGUGAAGCGGCAAAAGCUCAAAUUUGAAAUCUGCCGCAAGGCCGAGUUGUAAUUUGCAGAGGAUGCUUUUGGUAUGGUCCCUUCUGAGUCCCCUGGAACGGGGCACCAAAGAGGGUGAGAGUCCCGUACAGUUGGAUGCCUAACCAGUGUAAAGCUCCUUCAACGAGUCGAGUAGUUUGGGAAUGCUGCUCUAAAUGGGAGGUAAAUUCCUUCUAAAGCUAAAUAUCUGCCAGAGACCGAUAGCGCACAAGUAGAGUGAUCGAAAGAUGAAAAGCACUUUGAAAAGAGAGUUAAAUAGCACGUGAAAUUGUUGAAAGGGAAGCGCUUGUGACCAGACUUGUGCUAGAAUGAUCUUCUGUUGUUUUCAGCAGGCUACUCAGACUAGUUCAGGCCAGCAUCAGUUCUUGCAGGGAGAUAAAAACCUAGGGAAUGUGACUCCUUUUGGAGUGUUAUAGCCCUGGGUAUAAUAUCCCUGCUUGGACUGAGGAACGCGCCUUGCGAGGAUGCUGGCAUAAUGGUUAUCAGCGACCCGUCUUGAAACACGGACCAAGGAGUCAAGGUUUUGCGCAAGUGUUUGGGUGUAAAACCCGUACGCGUAAUGAAAGUGAACGUAGGUGAGAGCUUCGGCGCAUCACCGACCGAUCCUGAUGUCUUCGGAUGGAUUUGAGUAAGAGCGUAGUGCCUUGGACCCGAAAGAUGGUGAACUAUGCUUGGAUAGGGUGAAGCCAGAGGAAACUCUGGUGGAGGCUCGCAGCGGUUCUGACGUGCAAAUCGAUCGUCAAAUCUGAGCAUGGGGGCGAAAGACUAAUCGAACAUCUAGUAGCUGGUAC
rnacentral:rRNA from 1 species